CCUACGGGCGGCAGCAGUGAGGAAUAUUGGUCAAUGGACGAGAGUCUGAACCAGCCAAGUAGCGUGAAGGAUGAAUGCCCUAUGGGUUGUAAACUUCUUUUAUAUGGGAAUAAAAUGUUCCACGUGUGGGAUUUUGUAUGUACCAUAUGAAUAAGGAACGGCGAAAUCCGUUCCAGCAGCCGCGGUAAUACGGAGGAUCCGGGCGUUAGCCGGAUUUAUUGGGUUUAAAGGGAGCGUAGGUGGAUUGUUAAGUCAGUUGUUAAAGUUUGCGGCUCAACCGUAAAAUUGCAGUUGAAACUGGCAGUCUUGAGUACAGUAGAGGUGGGCGGAAUUCGUGGUGUAGCGGUGAAAUGCUUAGAUAUCACGAAGAACUCCGAUUGCGAAGGCAGUUCACUGGACUGCAACUGACACUGAGGCUCGAAAGUGUGGGUAUCAAACAGGAUUAGAUACCCGUGUAGUC
rnacentral:rRNA from 1 species